rnacentral:rRNA from 1 species
GAUGAACGCUGGCGGCGUGCCUAAUACAUGCAAGUCGAGCGAACGGACGAGAAGCUUGCUGCUGUGAUGUUAGCGGCGGACGGGGGAGUAACACGUGGAGAACCUACCGAUAAGACUGGGAUAACUUCGGGAAACCGGAGCUAAUACCGGAUAAUAUUUUGAACCUCAUGGUUCAAAAGUGAAAGACGGUCUUGCUGUCACUUAUAGAUGGAUCCGCGCUGCAUUAGCUAGUUGGUAAGGUAACGGCUUACCAAGGCAACGAUGCAUAGCCGACCUGAGAGGGUGAUCGGCCACAAUGGAACUGAGACAAGGCCCAGAAUACUACGGGAGGCAGCAGUAGGGAAUCUUACGCCAUGGGCGAAAGAAUGACGGAGCAACGACGCGUGAGUGAUGAAGGUCUUCGGAUCGUAAAAAUCUGUUAUUAGGGAAGAACAUAUGUGUAAGUAACUGUGCACAUCUUGACGGUACCUAAUCAGAAAGCCACGGCUAACUACGUG